CGAGGAAUCUUCCACAAUGGGCGCAAGCCCGAUGGAGCAACGCCGCGUGGAGGACGACGGCCUUCGGGUUGUAAACUCCUUUCGGGAGGGAUGAAACGGACAGUACCUCCAGAAGCAGCCCCGGCUAACUCUGUGCCAGCAGCCGCGGUAAUACAGAGGGGGCAAGCGUUGUCCGGAAUUACUGGGCGUACAGCGCGCGCAGGCGGUCCUGGACGUGCCGUGUGACAUCCGUCGGCUCAACCGACGGAGGCCAGGGUACACGACAGGACUGGAGGCAGAGAGAGGGAUGUGGAAUACCCGGUGGAGCGGUGAAAUGCGUAGAGAUCGGGUGGAACACCAGGGGCGAAGGCGGCAUCCUGGCUCUGGACUGACGCUGAGGCGCGAGAGCGUGGGGAGCAAACCGGAUUAGAUACCCGGGUAGUCCACGCCGUAAACGAUGUGUACCCGGCGCUGGGACGUGAUUGCGCGUCUCGGUGCCCCAGCUUACGCGAUGAGUACACCGCCUGGGGAC
rnacentral:rRNA from 1 species